UGAAUAUUGAAUAGGCGCUUUGCAAUAGAGAGUGACAAGAUAACGAGAAAUGCGGUAAAACAGCGGUUACCGCAGUAUUUUUUGCAGAAGUGGCGGUGAUACUGCGGUAACGGUAAUAAGAGACGCGGUAAUAUCGCGGUAGCAGUAACAGAUGUUAAAUGUGAUAAUUUGAUUAAAAAACGAAAUAUAAGUAUCAUUGUUAAAGUGCGUUUAUGUAAAACGCAUUAAAAACAUUAGAGAUUUGGAGUUCGUUUGUUUAAAUUUCUUUAUACUUUUAUUUGUUUAUUUACAUUUUGGAGAUUUUUUAUUUUGUUAUUGAUUAAUAUAAUAAAUAAAACAAAAGUAUUAGAGAUAGAGUUAGUUCGAUAUCUUGAUCUUCCAAGGGACCGCGAAAAUAGUUCGAGUUUGCAAAAGUUCAAGUUAUCGAAUGAUUUUAUGAGAAAUUAGGUUCAACGGGGAUUUUUAAAUACUUCAUGUUACUGGAAGUUAGAGAUAUUGCGAGUUCGAGUUAUUGGAAGUUUACUGUAUAACAUUCUGGGAACGUAAAAACAGAUCUACAAGUUAUUUUUGUGGUAAUGGUACUAAAUAACAUGAUUCAUCACAUCUGUCAGGUUAACGUAACUGGACCUCUCCGUUGGUCAGUUUUUGCGAUCAUUGUGUUGCAAAAGUUAUUAUAAAAAUAUUCUUGAUAGCUGCCACACCACGCGUACCCUCACCAAUUUCACGAGAUCUCUAAGAAUGUUGGAGUUGUAUUGACUAGCAUGACGUAGAGUGCAGGCGAUGCAAUCUGUUUCAAGGACACGCCCUUGAAGAGUGGCGUUUAUGCAGGUCUCGAGCUCUCCAAAACGUCAUUGGUGAUCGCAGUUCAUUUCGUAGGAGAAGGAUCACCAUUUAUUCACUACAUCAAUUUGGUUAUAAUGGCAAUAAAAUUUUUUCUUCUUCUUACACCCAUGAUAUUUAGUGCUUUGUUAGAUUUAUAUUAUAUAUUUUUAAUAUUAACUAUAUGCACAUAUCUUGCUGUUACACAGGUAGUAAUCAGUUUUUAAUUUAUUUUUGUUGUGUUAAGAUUAUGUGUUAUGCGACAUUUAUAAACUACAUUUUUUUACAUAUACGUAUUGACACUGUAGGUUAGUGGAUUAAUGUGCUGUGUUAGGAACGGAAGGCUCUGAGUUUGAACCAUGAAGGAGUCGUAUAUUCUAUUUUUAUUAUAUUCGAACCAAAUAUUAUUAUUUAUCUUACUAUUUUAUUUAUUAUUUAACUCAACUGUUUUAUGUUGUACGAUAUUUUAAGUCACGCGAGUCAUUAUUACACCAGCGGAUUUAUAAAGACUUGCUAACUCAUACGUUGUGUUAUAUCAUUUGCUAAGGAUAGCUAGAGGGCAUAUGUUAUGGCUCCCCUCUCACCUAUUGAUGAAAUUUUAUUCCUGCUACUAAAUAGUCUUUACAUUUAUUAUGGUGAUUUUUACCCAAUAACAUUAUCUACAACCUGAAUCUAUUAUCACAUCUCAAGGUCUAACUGGACGGUUCUGUUCGUCACUUUUUACAAUCAUCGUGUCCCAUAAACAGUUAUAAUUUGUUGCUGGUGACCCUUGUCUUCUUCCAAUAAACACCACAAAGACAAAACAAACAUUAGGAUUUCCCGCUGGAUGUGGUUAAGGCGCUCAGAAACCUAGUGACUACGCUGACAUUUACGCAAACGUUCAUUCGGAAGCUCCACAACGCACGUCAGACCAGGGCUUGCUGACUAUGUGCUCGGCUCUAAAAUCUCACUUCACAGCACAUAAUUU